GACGUAGGGCGCGAGCGUUGUCCGGAUUUAUUGGGCGUAAAGAGCUCGUAGGCGGCUUGUCGCGUCGACUGUGAAAACCCGUGGCUCAACCAUGUGGUCUGCAGUCGAUACGGGCAGGCUAGAAUUCGGUAGGGGAGACUGGAAUUCCUGGUGUAGCGGUGAAAUGCGUAGAUAUCUGGAGGAAUACCGGUGGCGAAGGCGGCAUCCUGGACCGACAUUGACGCUGAGGAGCGAAAGCUAGGGGAGCAAACAGG
rnacentral:rRNA from 1 species